rnacentral:rRNA from 1 species
UGGGACUAUACUUUGCCUAUGUUCCUUGGAACAGGACGUCAUGGAGGGUGAGAAUCCCGUGUGGCGAGGGUGUUAGUUCUUUGUAAAGGGUGCUCGAAGAGUCGAGUUGUUUGGGAAUGCAGCUCUAAGUGGGUGGUAAAUUCCAUCUAAAGCUAAAUACAGGCGAGAGACCGAUAGCGAACAAGUACAGUGAUGGAAAGAUGAAAAGAACUUUGAAAAGAGAGUGAAAAAGUACGUGAAAUUGUUGAAAGGGAAGGGCAUUUGAUCAGACAUGGUGUUUUGCGCCCCUCGCUCCUUGUGGGUGGGGGACUCUCGCAGCUCACUGGGCCAGCAUCAGUUUUUGCGGCAGGACAAAACCUUGGGAAUGUAGCUGUGCGCCUCGGUGUACAGUGUUAUAGCUCUUGGGAAUACUGCCAGCGGGGACUGAGGACUGCGAUACUUGUUAUCUAGGAUGCUGGCAUAAUGGUUAUAUGCCGC